AUAGAAGCAAGGAGUCAGUGUCAGCCUAAACAGCUGUCAGCAAGUAAAUCCAUCUAGUACAAAUAAAAAGAUUACAGACUUGAGGCUUCUUCCAAAAACGCAUAGUUAACAGUUUUUGUCUUUGGCAGACUCCAACUCAAUUGCAAAGAAAAAGUACACAAUGGAUUGUUUACUUUUGCAGUUGGCUUACUGCCUUAAAGAGAAAUAUUGAACAAAUGGAGACCUUUGAAGUUCCCAAAAGCAAAUACUUUUAAAACGGAAACAAACCUAUCAAGCAAGUAAUUUUUGUCUUGAAUAGUUUUUAAUCUCAUAUAUUUAACCCUACUUUUGACCUAAUUUCUCCCAUUAUGGUCAGAUCACUCCCUGAUGAGUAUCCAGUUGUCUGGUACCACCCCACUCCAUAAGGAGGCUGCACAUAUUACAUUGGCCUGCUUCAGAUGACUGAUGGACCUGACUGGGUUCCAGAGGGAAUUUGGGGUUCUGGAAAAUUUGGUACAUGGUCCAGCCGAAGCCUUCCUGCCUGCUGGAAUGAGAAAAUGGCUGUGGCUAUGGACCAGAUUACACCCAAGUAGCCUCUACAUUCACGACUCUCCGAAUUCUCACUAGAUUUAUGGUUGAACUAAAGAGAGAUGAAGAGUACUGCUGCAAAUGAUAAAGAGUGAGGAUGAUUAAACAUGAGCUAGAGCUGCUAUUAGAGACUCUCUUGUAUUAAAGAUAGCAAAAAGUAAUUAUUUUUCUGCUAUUAUUACAUCUACAGAUAGUCCUUCCGUGGCCCUGUUCAAGUCACUGUGAGAAAUAUGCUGCAUAUCUAGUGAAUAAAGUUACUUGGAUAUACUGUGUUGAGUUCCAGCCUUGGAGCAGGGCCGUUGGGAGUUAUGGGGAACUGGUUCUUGCAUAGUAAUUUGGGAAGAGUUUCAUCCUGUCAAGCCUGAGAAAGAGGACAGAGUUCUUAUAACUGUUUGAUCACUUCUGUGUUAGAUCCAUACCCUUCUUGACUGGUCGGGAGACAGUGGAGGAUGGUGGGAGGGGGGGGGGGGUGGGGGCUGGUAUACUGUGGUCCAUGGGGUUGCAAGGAUUUGGACACGAUUUGGCAACUGAACAACAAAACAAACUCGACACAUGCAAGAUCACUAUGUGACCUGCAGUGGCUCACAGGUUACCCAAGGGACCAUCUUCCAGUGUUUCUACCUGUCCAAUACAGUCUGGAUGGGCAUGCUCUGAGUCCCUAAGUGAAGAAAUGUCUGUUUGUGGGAUCUACAGUUUGUACCUUUCUGCAAUACCACUUGCCCUCUGGGACAUUCUCUCUUCAUGUAUUAGGAUGGUCUUGAGAAUCUGUUGGCCUUUGAAGAACUGGUUAUGUGUACUGGCGAGAGGGCC